rnacentral:lncRNA from 1 species
GCCAUUUCAAUGGACCAGCUUGUCUAGUCUUUUUCAUGACUUAGUGAAGUCAGUGAGAGGAUUAUGAUUAGCUGAUCAGUCUUUUUCAAUCUCUUAAAAUCGAUUAAUCAAAUUCCCUAAAUUAUUAGAUUCAUAAAAUGAGCUAGUUAUGGGGAUAACUAGAUCAUAGCCUCCCAUUAAGAUGGAUGAUAAUGGAUCCAAUAGUCUAGGUAAGUAUUGUAGACCCAU